rnacentral:rRNA from 1 species
UGGGGAAUAUUGCACAAUGGGGGAAGACCCUGAUGCAGCGACGCCGCGUGAGCGAAGAAGUAUUUCGGUAUGUAAAGCUCUAUCAGCAGGGAAGAAAUGACGGUACCUGACUAAGAAGCCCCGGCUAACUACGUGCCAGCAGCCGCGGUAAUACGUAGGGGCGAAGCGUUAUCCGGAUUUACUGGGUGUAAAGGGAGCGUAGACGGCUUAGCAAGUCUGAAGUGAAAGCCCGGGGCUCAACCCAGGCCAGGUGCUUUGGAAUUGAACUGUUAAGCUGGAGUGCUGGAGAGGUAAGCGGAAUUCCUAGUGUAGCGGUGAAAUGCGUAGAUAUUAGGAGGAACACCAGUGGCGAAGGCGGCUUACUGGACAGUAACUGACGUUGAGGCUCGAAAGCGUGGGGAGCAAACAGGAUUAGAUACC